GUUUGAAUAGUUUAAUAAAAAUUUGGACUUGUGGCGUCCGAGAUGCAAAGAUUUGCUUCAGGCU
rnacentral:tRNA from 1 species